CUGAACUCACCAUUGAAGAUAAACUCAAUUGGUUAUCUACAGAAAUAACAGCUACGUUAGCUAUGCAAGUUGAAGUAUCAAUUCAACAUUAGAGUAAAUUGAUUGUGAAACCCAUCCAGCACACAAAUCAUGAAUUUGGAUCCAAUCACAGCAGGCCAGACUUUGUCAUCCUUUCACUCUACAGCUUUCUGUAUGCGGUAUUGAAAAUUUUAGCCUUCCCCUCAGGUUUAGAGGUAAGAGCUGUACUCAAGUGUCCUUUCAUUAUGUCGCCUGAAUUUCAUAUCCUUUUAUAAGUAUGA
rnacentral:lncRNA from 1 species